rnacentral:antisense_RNA from 1 species
AUCAGCCCUGGGGUUCAGAGGGAUCCUGACGGCUACUCCUCAAGAUCCUCUCUGUUGUGAUUCAUCCCCCCCAGGCCCUACAGUUUCUCCUUCCUGACUCUUACAUUUCUUUGGAUGGCAUCACUAUUUACCUGUCUCCUCCCAUAGUUAGUUGCCAAGCACUGUGGAUUCUACCCCUCAGGGUCCAGACACCCAUUUUCCUUCCCACUGUUCCCUCCCCAUGGAGAAGCCUGUGGCUGACUGACAGCUCAACUUGGAGAAGGUGUUACCUGGGCCAGGUGGGGAAGGUAGGGUUGUUUGCAGAGCAAAGAAGUGAAGCAGAACCAACCCCUCCUCUUCUUCCUCCCCCUCAGCCUAUUCAAUGUGAAAAAGAUGAGGGCGAAGACCUUUAUGAUGAUCCAAGUAAUGAACACACUGGAGAAAGUCAAACAGUCAAAACAAUGUCCCAGACUCCGUGAAGUUCCUGGGUAGAGAAGUAGACAGACGUACACCAUACCUAAUAAUUGGAGGUCCAAGAGAAUGAGAGAAUGGCAGAAAGAACUUUAGAGCAUGGGUAUGAUGGCUAGAGCUUGAGCAGCCAUUGUGGACAUCAGAUGAACCUGAAAGUGAAAACUAUGAGCUGAAUAUGACAAAGCAAAUAGAAAACUGGAUUCAUGAUGACACUGCAAAGCUGCCAGACCAGCUCUAGUCUGCUUCUCCCUAAUCUUCCUUACUAAGAGAGAGAAAUAAACUUCCAUCUUCUUCAAGGC